GGGUUGUGAGGUUAAGCGACUAAGCGUACACGGUGGAUGCCCUGGCAGUCAGAGGCGAUGAAGGGCGUGCUAAUCUGCGAUAAGCGCCGGUAAGGUGAUAUGAACCGUUAUAACCGGCGAUACCCGAAUGGGGAAACCCAGUGUGAUUCGUCACACUAUCAUUAACUGAAUCCAUAGGUUAAUGAGGCGAACCGGGGGAACUGAAACAUCUAAGUACCCCGAGGAAAAGAAAUCAACCGAGAUUCCCCCAGUAGCGGCGAGCGAACGGGGAGGAGCCCAGAGCCUGAAUCAGCAUGUGUGUUAGUGGAAGCGUCUGGAAAGGCGCGCGAUACAGGGUGACAGCCCCGUACACAAAAGCGCAUGUGCUGUGAGCUCGAUGAGUAGGGCGGGACACGUGGUAUCCUGUCUGAAUAUGGGGGGACCAUCCUCCAAGGCUAAAUACUCCUGACUGACCGAUAGUGAACCAGUACCGUGAGGGAAAGGCGAAAAGAACCCCGGCGAGGGGAGUGAAAAAGAACCUGAAACCGUGUACGUACAAGCAGUGGGAGCCCCACCACUAAGCCAGUGGUGAACUCCACAUACGCAUCCUUUGCUGAGGAUACGGUUAACGGAGCGAAAGCGACGUUCAACCUCAAAAGAAGCAGAGGGGGCUUAGUGGUGGGG
rnacentral:rRNA from 1 species